CUUCGGUCCUCCUUUCCCCCUCUUUCUCUUCUCUUCCCCUCAGUUGGAAAAAAAAAAAGAAAAAGAAGAAGAAAAAGAAGAAAAAAAAAAUUGUUAAGCCCCCGAACUGAAGGUUACGAGCGGCCCGUCAGCAGCCCACAUGUAACCGAACUGUCGUGUUUCAUGGCUUUUUGCCACUCCAGCUGUCAAUCAAAGCCCGGAAUGUCAAGAAGAACUGCAAGAUUAAAAGCAUCCUUCGUAUUUGUUGCUGAGUUGCUCAUGGACAUAUAAGGAAAGAGAUCCUUCCUCCAUUCUUUCCAACUCUGCCUACUCCAGCCUUUUCUCCAAAAGAGUAUUAUAGCACUUGGAGCAGUAUUGUAGCACUUGGACCACGUUCCCGUCCAUGGGGUCGCAAGGAGUCGAACAGGACUGAGCAACUGAACAAGAAGCACUUGGAAAGCUUCUGAUUUAAAUAGCCUCAUUUCAACUCCAAAUAAACCAUGUAGGUAGAAAACCGAAAAACCAGACUUCACUGUACCUCUUUGACUGCACUCUUGUAAACCGGGCUUCACUGGGCACAGGAGAUCACAUGUGUUAGGCUCCAUCAUCAAAUUACCUGGAAGAUUCAAAUCUUCCAGAGAAAAUGAAUUUGGAAAUAUACUUUUUCUUUUCAGUUAAAAGCCGUGAUAAGAGAAAAACAAUACAUAUAAAUGAUCGGCACGUUUUACCUUUAAAAGCUUUUGAACUCAAUCAAAAGACACAAGUUGGAAGCAGAAUUGACAGUUUUAAUUCUACCCAUUUUCACCUGGCACAUCAGAUCAGAGGCAAUCAUUUAUUUUAUGAGGGGUAGACGGGAAAGUCAGAUAGAAAGCUUGAAUCCACUGAAGUCUCUAUCCUAAAAAGAAUUACAGAGAAACUAGUGAAAUGGAAACAUUCCACUACUGCACACUCUCAGUCUAGUCUAAUUGAAAUUUAUAAAUUCAUAUUCUGCCUAAUUUUAUGCUUUUUAUUUUGUUUUCUAGGAUUCCCUCCAAGACUGAUAGGAAAGACAGGGCCACUUCUGGACUAUCUGUGAGGAUGUGUUUCUUUCUAUAAUACUGAAGCACUUUUUAUAAACCUUUUGGUGUAUUUAAAUAAAUCUAUUUGGACAUUAAGAGAAGUCAUAUAUACAAAGAUAGCUUUGCUUUAUUCCAGUAAUCCCGAUAUUAGAAAAGAAUUUCACAAUCUGAGACGCCUUGGCCAAAAAAAAAAAAAAAGUUUUCUGCGUGUAUGUGCAUGUCUUCGUGCGCACGUUUAUAAACAUCUCCCAGUCCGCGUUUGCGUGUUACCUCCCUCCUGCCACACACUCGAAGGCAGAGGCGUCGAGGGAUCGCCCCCAGAGAGCUGUGUUUACUUAGGUUUUUUUUAAUCUCGCCGCCAUGUAUGACAAGUGUUACUUCAAGAAAUUCAUCAGCCUUCUAUAGAUACUUCCAGUUUUGCUGUAAUGAUCUGCAGAAGAGAACUGCCAUCACUUUCUCGCAUCCCAAGGUGUUGCAGGAACUCACCGAAAGGGGAAAGUGGCUGAAACGCUUAAUUACAGUGGGGGAGGGAGGGGCGCGAGGCGGAACCUCGGAAGGGAGAGUGGGGAAGGUCUUUACCUGGCCUGGACCUGAAGAAAGCUGUGAAUCCUCGCGUUGAAAAUUUGAGAAAGGUAGGAUUGCUUUUUUUUUUUUUUGCAAUGCCUUUGGGGAGAAGUGAUACCCUUGUGUAACAAUUAGCUCAGAC
ensembl:lncRNA